rnacentral:rRNA from 1 species
GUUGUAAUUUGAAGAAGGCGACUUUGUAGCUGGUCCUNGUCUAUGUUCCUUGGAACAGGACGUCAUAGAGGGUGAGAAUCCCGUGUGGCGAGGAUCCCAGUUAUUUGUAAAGUGCUUUCGACGAGUCGAGUUGUUUGGGAAUGCAGCUCUAAGUGGGUGGUAAAUUCCAUCUAAAGCUAAAUAUUGGCGAGAGACCGAUAGCGAACAAGUACAGUGAUGGAAAGAUGAAAAGAACUUUGAAAAGAGAGUGAAAAAGUACGUGAAAUUGUUGAAAGGGAAGGGCAUUUGAUCAGACAUGGCGUUUGCUUCGGCUUUCGCUGGGCCAGCAUCAGUUUUAGCGGUUGGAUAAAUCCUCGGGAAUGUGGCUCUGCUUCGGUAGAGUGUUAUAGCCCGUGGGAAUACAGCCAGCUGGGACUGAGGA